rnacentral:rRNA from 1 species
UACGUAGGGUGCAAGCGUUGUCCGGAAUUAUUGGACGUAAAGAGCUCGUAGGCGGUUUGUUGCGUCGGCUGUGAAAUCCCGAGGCUCAACCUCGGGUCUGCAGUCGAUACGAGCAAACUAGAGUGUUGCAGGGGAGACUGGAAUUCCUGGUGUAGCGGUGAAAUGCGCAGAUAUCAGGAGGAACACCGGUGGCGAAGGCGGGUCUCUGGGCAACAACUGACGCUGGAGGAGCGAAAGCGUGGGGAGCGAACAGG